GACAGAGGGUGCAAACGUUGUUCGGAAUUACUGGGCGUAAAGCGUGUGUAGGCGGCUUUGCAAGUCGGAUGUGAAAGCCCCCGGCUCAACUGGGGAGGGUCAUUCGAUACUGAUCGACUCGAAGGCAGGAGAGGGUAGUGGAAUUCCCGGUGUAGUGGUGAAAUGCGUAGAUAUCGGGAGGAACACCAGUGGCGAAGGCGACUACCUGGCCUGUUCUUGACGCUGAGGCGCGAAAGCUAGGGGAGCAAACGGG
rnacentral:rRNA from 1 species